rnacentral:rRNA from 1 species
UACAGAGGUCCCAAGCGUUGUUCGGAUUCACUGGGCGUAAAGGGUGCGUAGGUGGUUGGGUCAGUCUGAGGUGAAAUCCCCGAGCUUAACUUGGGAAUUGCGCUCGAAACUACGAUGCUCGAGUGUGGCAGAGGAAGGUGGAAUUCCACGUGUAGCGGUGAAAUGCGUAGAGAUGUGGAGGAACACCGAUGGCGAAGGCAGCCUUCUGGGCCAACACUGACGCUCAUGCACGAAAGCGUGGGGAGCAAACAGG